UGUGGGGAGCCCUUGGGCCCGUCGCCCUAUCCUGCCCAGCUCAAAGUGGGCGGUUGAACCUCCAGAGAUCAUGGCAACCCUGCCCCUGAACUCACCAUUGCUGGUAUUUUACUGGCAGCCAAAGCACUGUGGUCCCAGACACGGUGUGGCAGAAGGGAGGGGAAGGACCCUGAAGAACCCCUCGGUCCCGCGGUCCAAACCCCAAGGGCUGCCCACGGGCAGCAGGCUCGGCUGGUGCCCACUGGCCUCAGCCCCUGCCUGGCUGAUGUCACCGCAACCAUUGUGGUGUCACCCAUCUCCAGGGGCUGGUGGCAGUCACAGGGAGGGGCAGGGACUCACCGUGGCCCCUCCACCUCCAGAGCAGUGUCAUAGUACGUCGGCCCCCCAAGCCUUCCCCGUGCAUAACAUUAUUGUGCAAGACCUCUUCUAGGCAUCUUUUUAAGUCAAGCAUCACAUAGAGAGGACUUGAUUUCAAGUCCCUUUCUACUAACCCAAACAAUGCGGGUCAGCCUUUGUUAACUAGUCUUCAGCAGUGUCCCACUUCCGAGUGGAGCUCUUUCAGUGGCUCACAUCGUUGAAUCUGCUAUCCGAAGUACAAAAGGGAAGACUGUGAGACUCUGUGUGUGGUGUGACAACGCUGUCAAGCUCAUCUAUGAAUCUGCUGUCUUGAAAGGUCCGGUCCGACUGUUCCUGUCCCAGCUGUUACUGCUCCUAGCCAGCAGCGGCCCAGGCUCUUGAGCUGGCUCCAGUGCUCACUGUGCGCUUCAUUGAACUGACUCAGCUCACUAACCCAGCAGAAAAAUGUUCUGCUUUCUUUGCCAAGGUAAACCCCGAAACUCCAGAGCCACCAGCUGAAAAAUGGCAAGAAAGGCAGAGCAGGUCAGUGGCAGUGAGCCAUGAGGUGGGCUUGGUUCUGUUACUGCAUCAGACUUUUGGUUCUUGAUAUGGUUUAAAAUACCUGUUUAUUAGGGUAGAACAGCAGCAAAUGGGAGCAAUGGUGUUUAGUGACCAGGGAAAGGGGGAUCCAGGUACAAGAGACGUGACCCAGCUCCUGGUUCCACUUCAUGUCACUACGUGUGCCCAAGUCUCUUCAUAACACAAAGAUUUGAGUUCCUUUGUAAACUGAGUGGAAACUUGCUACCAAGAAGAACAAAAGCAGCAUAUUACUCAAUGUUAGAGCAUCAAAAUUUAGCCCAGAGACUGCUAUAGUCUCCUGCUUCUAAAUGGCAUCUGCAAGCAAAAGCUACUUUUACUUACUGUCUUUCAAGCAGUAGUUAAAGACCAUGAAACCACACAUCUCAUACAUAUUUGUAAAUCCUGCUCUGGUCUGUGCUACUUUCAGAGCAGAACUGACUGGAGGAAAGGAUUUUAUUUUUUUAAGGCCUGCAGUCAGUGCUCAAUUAGCAUGAGCUGAAUUUCAGGCUGUGGGAGGUUUUUGUUUGAAUGCUGUCUUUGAAUCAUCUAAAACUCCUCCUGCUGGAGGUUUUGCAAGCACGAUGGGCUCUCUGCAGCUUCCUUUUGCCCGACUGUCAGACUAGCUCUGCAAAGCAAGCAGCCAAAGCUUUGUCCGCCUUCUCCUUGGCACAGUGAAGAGGAAACUCAUGGGCAAAUUCUGUGAAAGAGCUGCCAUUCCUGCAGCACUCUCCUAUCCGGCCAGUGCCAAAUUUCUCUGAGUGUAGACUGGGGGAGAUGGGGAACAGCUGGAAGACUCACCGAAUUGAACAUAUUCCUCUGUGCUGCUCUGCUGGUGCACGCGGAUCCCUUAGAGAGCCUGCAUUGUAAACUGAUCUCUUCUCCCGUGUCAUCCAUGCCCUCCCCUUCCUGCAUCCAGAUGAUGCAUGGCACGGACUUUCCACUCCUUACCUGAACGUAAGCAUCUUCUCUUUUGCCCUUACACGGUGUUCUUCCUGCCCAUGUUGUAGCUAUUUGAUGAUAUGUGACCAUGUGGCUCUACCAUCUGGAUUCAGUGAACUUCUCAGCCUCCUGGCUCUUACAGUAGAGCAUUAAUUGACACACGUAAACCUGCAAUAGAUUUUAAAAUAGGGAUAGAGGUAUCUUAAAUAUGAAGUGUGCAGUGGCAGGAUGGCUUGAGCAAGGGGGUAACAAGGUCAGAAUUUGCCUUUCAAGAUUAGAGGUUCAGCUCAGUGCAGGACUUUGUCUUUGCUGCUCUGCAACAGCCAGCUGCUUUGCUUGGGUUUAGCUGGAUUCCAGCAGACUUCCACAGGAACUGUACUUGGCACUUAUUAGAUUUCUUCUCAGCAGAGUCAGCACAGACAUUUUUCGUCAAUAAGUAUUUCACACACGUUCCAACAAACCAACCUGCUCUCCUCCUGAAGCAAACCUAGAAAAGGAGCCUACUUUUGCAAAAAAAAAGGAAAGAAAGAAAUAAAAGUUGCUCAUUUCUAUGGUCA
rnacentral:lncRNA from 1 species